rnacentral:rRNA from 1 species
UUUUUUUGAGAAUUUGAUCCUGGUUCAGGAUGAACGCUGGCGGCGUGCCUAAGGCAUGCAAGUCGAACGAUCCCGCAGCAAUGCGGGGUAGUGGCAGACGGGUGAGUAACACGUGAGAAUCUACCCAAUAGUGGGGAAUAGCUGGCCGAAA